GCAAAAGACAAAGAAAAAAGAUUGGAUCACACCGGAAACAUGGAACAAGAUUAACAUCAGAAGGCAGGCAAAAAAGAAAGUCAAUGAUACCAAAUCACCAAGAUUGAAAGACAAAUACCAACAAGAAUAUAGUGACAUACAUCGUAAUGUCAAAACCCUGGUUAGAGCUGAUAAGAGGAAAUUUAUGGAUAAUUUAGCAGAUCAAGCAGAAGAAGCGGCUAAUAAAAGAGAGCAAGGCAACCUCUACAAAAUUACCAAAAUUAUCUGUGGAAAAGGCA
rnacentral:lncRNA from 1 species